GACGAACGCUGGCGGCGUGCUUAACACAUGCAAGUCGAACGGAAAGGCCUCUUUCGGGGGGUACUCGAGUGGCGAACGGGUGAGUAGCACGUGAGUAACCUGCCCUUGACUUUGGGAUAACUUCAGGAAACUGGGGCUACUACCGGAUAGGAGCUCCUGCUGCAUGGUGGGGGUUGGAAAGUUUCGGCGGUUGGGGAUGGACUCGCGGCUUAUCAGCUUGUUGGUGGGGUAGUGGCUUACCAAGGCUUUGACGGGUAGCCGGCCUGAGAGGGUGACCGGCCACAUUGGGACUGAGAUACGGCCCAGACUCCUACGGGAGGCAGCAGUGGGGAAUAUUGCACAAUGGGUGGAAGCCUGAUGCAGCAACGCCGUGUGCGGGAUGACGGCCUUCGGGUUGUAAACCGCUUUCGCUCAUGACGAAGCUUUGUGUGACGGUAGUGGGUAAAGAAGCACCGGCUAACUACGUG
rnacentral:rRNA from 1 species